UGGCUCAGAUUGAACGCUGGCGGCAGGCCUAACACAUGCAAGUCGAACGGUAACAGGAAUCAGCUUGCUGAUUCGCUGACGAGUGGCGGACGGGUGAGUAAUGUCUGGGAAACUGCCUGAUGGAGGGGGAUAACUACUGGAAACGGUAGCUAAUACCGCAUAACGUCGCAAGACCAAAGAGGGGGACCUUCGGGCCUCUUGCCAUCGGAUGUGCCCAGAUGGGAUUAGCUAGUAGGUGGGGUAAAGGCUCACCUAGGCGACGAUCCCUAGCUGGUCUGAGAGGAUGACCAGCCACACUGGAACUGAGACACGGUCCAGACUCCUACGGGAGGCAGCAGUGGGGAAUAUUGCACAAUGGGCGCAAGCCUGAUGCAGCCAUGCCGCGUGUAUGAAGAAGGCCUUCGGGUUGUAAAGUACUUUCAGCGGGGAGGAAGGGAGUAAAGUUAAUACCUUUGCUCAUUGACGUUACCCGCAGAAGAAGCACCGGCUAACUCCGUGCCAGCAGCCGCGGUAAUACGGAGGGUGCAAGCGUUAAUCGGAAUUACUGGGCGUAAAGCGCACGCAGGCGGUUUGUUAAGUCAGAUGUGAAAUCCCCGGGCUCAACCUGGGAACUGCAUCUGAUACUGGCAAGCUUGAGUCUCGUAGAGGGGGGUAGAAUUCCAGGUGUAGCGGUGAAAUGCGUAGAGAUCUGGAGGAAUACCGGUGGCGAAGGCGGCCCCCUGGACGAAGACUGACGCUCAGGUGCGAAAGCGUGGGGGAGCAAACAGGAUUAGAUACCCUGGUAGUCCACGCCGUAAACGAUGUCGACUUGGAGGUUGUGCCCUUGAGGCGUGGCUUCCGGAGCUAACGCGUUAAGUCGACCGCCUGGGGAGUACGGCCGCAAGGUUAAAACUCAAACGAAUUGACGGGGGCCCGCACAAGCGGUGGAGCAUGUGGUUUAAUUCGAUGCAACGCGAAGAACCCUACCUGGUCUUGACAUCCACGGAAGUUUUCAGAGAUGAGAAUGUGCCUUCGGGAACCGUGAGACAGUUGCUGCAUGGCUGUCGUCAGCUCGUGUUGUGAAAUGUUGGGUUAAGUCCCGCAACGAGCGCAACCCUUAUCCUUUGUUGCCAGCGGUCCGGCCGGGAACUCAAAGGAGACUGCCAGUGAUAAACUGGAGGAAGGUGGGGAUGACGUCAAGUCAUCAUGGCCCUUACGACCAGGGCUACACACGUGCUACAAUGGCGCAUACAAAGAGAAGCGACCUCGCGAGAGCAAGCGGACCUCAUAAAGUGCGUCGUAGUCCGGAUUGGAGUCUGCAACUCGACUCCAUGAAGUCGGAAUCGCUAGUAAUCGUGGAUCAGAAUGCCACGGUGAAUACGUUCCCGGGCCUUGUACACACCGCCCGUCACACCAUGGGAGUGGGUUGCAAAAGAAGUAGGUAGCUUAACCUUCGGGAGGGCGCUUACCACUUUGUGAUUCAUG
rnacentral:rRNA from 1 species